CCUACGGGAGGCAGCAGUAGGGAAUCUUCCACAAUGGGCGAAAGCCUGAUGGAGCAACGCCGCGUGGGUGAAGAAGGUCUUCGGAUCGUAAAACCCUGUUGUUAGAGAAGAAAGUGCGUGAGAGUAACUGUUCACGUUUCGACGGUAUCUAACCAGAAAGCCACGGCUAACUACGUGCCAGCAGCCGCGGUAAUACGUAGGUGGCAAGCGUUAUCCGGAAUUAUGGGGCGUAAAGCGAACGUAGGCGGUCUGUUAAGUCUGAUGUGAAAGCCGUCGGCUGAACGGGGGGAGUGCAUUGGAAACUGGGAGACUUGAGUGCAGAAGAGGAGAGUGGAACUCCAGGUGUAGCAGUGAAAUGCGUAGAUAUAUGGAGGAACACCAGUGGCGAAGGCGGCUCUCUGGUCUGUAACUGACGCUGAGGUUCGAAAGCGUGGGUAGCAAACAGGAUUAGAUACCCGUGUAGUC
rnacentral:rRNA from 1 species